GACGAACGCUGGCGGCGUGCUUAACACAUGCAAGUCGAACGGGAUCCGGGCUUUCGGGUUUGGUGAGAGUGGCGAACGGGUGAGUAACACGUGAGUAACCUGCCCCCUUCUUUGGGAUAACGUCGGGAAAUCGGCGCUAAUACUGGAUAUUCUUGCUGCAUCGCAUGGUGUGGUUUGGAAAGGGUUUCUGGUGGGGGAUGGGCUCGCGGCCUAUCAGCUUGUUGGUGGGGUGACGGCCUACCAAGGCUUUGACGGGUAGCCGGCCUGAGAGGGUGUCCGGCCACACUGGGACUGAGACACGGCCCAGACUCCUACGGGAGGCAGCAGUGGGGAAUAUUGCACAAUGGGCGCAAGCCUGAUGCAGCGACGCCGCGUGAGGGAUGACGGCCUUCGGGUUGUAAACCUCUUUCAGUAUGGAACAAGGAUCCUUCUUUUGGGGGGUUUGAGGGUACGUGCAGAAGAAGCGCCGGCUAACUACGUG
rnacentral:rRNA from 1 species